AUACGGAGGGAGCGAGCGUUAAUCGGAAUUACUGGGCGUAAAGCGCGCGUAGGCGGUUUAGUAAGUCGGAUGUGAAAGCCCAGGGCUCAACCUUGGAAUUGCAUUCGAUACUGCUUAACUAGAGUAUGGUAGAGGGAAGUGGAAUUUCCGGUGUAGCGGUGAAAUGCGUAGAUAUCGGAAGGAACACCAGUGGCGAAGGCGACUUCCUGGGCCAAUACUGACGCUGAGGUGCGAAAGCGUGGGGAGCAAACAGGAUUAGAAACCCCGGUAGUCC
rnacentral:rRNA from 1 species